CCUACGGGGGGCACCAGUGGGGAAUUUUGCGCAAUGCUCGUAAGAGUGACGCAGCGACGCCGCGUGAAUGACGAAGGCCUUCGGGUCGUAAAGUUCUUUCGACAGGGAAGAAAAUGCCUAUAAGUAACUGUGUAUGUAUUGACGGUACCUGUAUAAGCAGCCCCGGCUAACUCCGUGCCAGCAGCCGCGGUAAUACGGAGGGGGCGAGCGUUGUUCGGAGGGACUGGGCGUAAAGAGCACGUAGGCGGUGUUGUAAGUCAUUAGUCAAAGACUAGAGCUCAACUUUAGUAAGGCUAGUGAUACUAUAAUACUAGAGUAUCAGAGAGGAUUGCAGAAUUCCUGGUGUAGCGGUGAAAUGCGGAGAUAUCAGGAGGAAUACCGUUAGCGAAGGCGGCAAUCUGGCUGGAAACUGACGCUGAGGUGCGAAAGCGUGGGUAGCAAACAGGAUUAGAUACCCUGGUAGUC
rnacentral:rRNA from 1 species